GCAUGGCUGUGGUCAGCUCGUGUCGUGAGAUGUCGCGUUAAGUCGCUUAACGAGCGAAACCCUUGUCCCUAGUUGCCAGCGAGUCAUGUCGGGGACUCUAGGGAGACUGCCGGUGUUAAACCGUAGGAAGGUGGGGAUGACGUCAAGUCCUCAUGGCCUUUAUGAUUAGGGCUGCACACGUCCUACAAUGGCACACACAAAGGGAAGCAAACUCGUGAGAGCCAGCAAAUCCCAAAAAAUGUGCCUCAGUUCGGAUUGCAGGCUGCAACCCGCCUGCAUGAAGCUGGAAUCGGUAGUGAUCUGCGGGUCAGCAUACCGCGGUGAAUGUGUUGCCUGAGCCUUGUACACACCGCCCGUCAAGCCACGAAAGUGGGGGGCAUGCCGAAGUCGCCGAGGCAACCCGCAAGGGAGGCAAGCGCCGAA
rnacentral:rRNA from 1 species